UUUACAAAUGCUUUCAUUCAUUUUGACGUUCUGAAUUGUAUCAAACACCUCAGAGUUUCCGGAGUAUGUCAUUCAGCAGGUGAUGCAGUUCGAUGUUGCACCGAUUACAGACAAGACGGGGGAAUAUGCAUACCUUGCAUUGGAUCUUUUGGCAUUAACUGUACUGGUGGGGUAUGUGUAGAAGGGUUCUAUGGCUUUGGUUGCAGAGGGAUUUGUAACUGCAGUAAAGACGAAAUAUGUGACCGUCGACUUGGUUGUGAAAAAAAAACUUUGGAAAAAGAUAACACUGC